CUGUUUGAGGCUCUUGCUUUGGGCUCUGAGCUGACUGCAAAAAUGGCGGUGGAGAAGAAUUGCUCUUCAGGCAAAGUGAGAGGAUGUUUCCUUAUUUGCUUCCUCUUCACUCUGAUCCAAUGUCUCUCCACUAACAAAAUGUCAAAGGAUUCAGGGGAAAGCUCUAAAAGCAGAGAAAACACUUCAUUGACCAAAACAGGCACUUCAGGCAUCUUCUUUCUAAACCACAGGUGUUGUCAGAAAUA